AUUGAACGCUGGCGGCAUGCUUUACACAUGCAAGUCGAACGGUAACAGGCCUUCGGGUGCUGACGAGUGGCGCACGGGUGAGUAAUGCAUCGGAACGUGCCCGGAGGUGGGGGAUAACGCAGCGAAAGCUGUGCUAAUACCGCAUGUGAUCUGAGGAUGAAAGCGGGGGACCAGGCAGCAAUGUUUGGCCUCGCGCCUUUGGAGCGGCCGAUGUCAGAUUAGGUAGUUGGUGGGGUAAAGGCCUACCAAGCCGACGAUCUGUAGCUGGUCUGAGAGGACGACCAGCCACACUGGGACUGAGACACGGCCCAGACUCCUACGGGAGGCAGCAGUGGGGAAUUUUGGACAAUGGGCGCAAGCCUGAUCCAGCAAUGCCGCGUGCGGGAAGAAGGCCUUCGGGUUGUAAACCGCUUUUGUACGGAACGAAAAGGCUCUGGCUAAUACCUGGGGCUGAUGACGGUACCGUAAGAAUAAGCACCGGCUAACUACGUG
rnacentral:rRNA from 1 species